UACGGAAAAGAAAGGAUCGCACACUUUCUUUUCAGGCGCGUUAAUUGCCCCAGCUGAAGCGCAGCUAUAGUGAGAGCACGUUAAGGGGCUCGGCAGCGUCCUUCUUACGUGUUAUUUUUUUAAACUCUUUCUUAGUAUUUUUUAUAGUAGUCACUGGUUUGUCACUUACAGCGACCAGCAAGACGUGGUCCGGUAAUACGCGUCAAAGUGACGCCUUUGCGCAAUCUGGCAUCUGACGUGCUCAAGAAAAACAGACGCGCAAAGAGUCUUUUUUGAGAUGAUGGCGUGUUGGAACGUUAUUGCUAGCUCCAUUGUGGUUAUUAUGACAUGCCAAUGUUUCUAUAGGACAAGGAGCUUCCUCUUCAAACUGGACGACCCAAUAUACGCCGGAGACAUUCAAU